UACGUAGGGCGCAAGCGUUAUCCGGAAUUAUUGGGCGUAAAGAGCUCGUAGGCGGUUUUGUCGCGUCUGGCCGUGAAAGUCCGGGGCUCAACUCCGGAUCUGCGGUGGGUACGGGCAGACUAGAGUGAUGUAGGGGAGACUGGAAUUCCUGGUGUAGCGGUGAAAUGCGCAGAUAUCGAGAGGAACACCUGCGGCGAAGGCGGGUAGCUGGGCCGACACUGACGCUGAUGCGCGAAAGCCAGGGGAGGCGAACGGG
rnacentral:rRNA from 1 species